rnacentral:tRNA from 1 species
UGCGGUGUAGUUUAAUUAAAAUUAUUAUUUUACACAUAAUGGAUCCCCUGCGGCACUGUAA